CCAGUGAAAUCUUUGUGGUGCAAGAAGCUGCAUCAUCAAGAUCAGCUGAGAGCAGUUCCUCCGGGUCAAUAAUGGAUCAUGGCAUAAAAGCAUCCUCAGCUCUAUAUGUGCUUUGGUUUUCAAAUAAGGAUGUACAGGAAAUUCUCUCAGAUCAACAAAAUGAUGGAGCUUAUGCCCUACACCAUACAUCUCAUGGUCAGUCAUAACUGUCUGAGACCUCCACCCAGCCAAGUCUCUCUGUGCCCUCAUUCCAGCCACCGCUGCCUGAGCCCUCCACCCGCUCACCGCUGCCUGAGCCCUCCACCCAGCCACCGCUCACUCUGUUCUCACAACCACAAGAAAUCCUGACUCUUUAUGAUGAACCAUCACUCUCUCCUUCAUCUGCCCAAGAACCAAUCAUUAUUCUUGAUGAACAAGAUGAGUCGAUUUCACAAAAUCAGUCUCCUGUAUCAACACAUCACCUAAGAGGACCUGUGGAUGAGAUUGAUCUACAGACCAUAUUGAAAAAAAUGGUCAGCAAAGUUGAUGGAAGAUUCUGUCCAACAAGCAACCAAAUAAAUGUGUGCAGGGAUAAUGUUUUACUGUGUAGCCUGCGGGCAUUCAAGUGUAGGUCCUUCAACCCUGAAGCAAAAUUGGAUGUUGUGUUUGUGGAUGAAGAUGACAAUGGUGAAGAGGCAGUUGACGAAGGUGGCCCGACAAGAGAGUACCUAAGGCUGUUGAUGAGGGCCGUCCACCAGUCAAAUAUCUUUGACACGAGAAAGACCGGCAGUUGUCUCUUGAUACUCAAGCUUUGCAGUCUUAACUUUACAUGUGGGUGGCAAAAAUGAUUGCUGUGUGUGUGGUCCAUGGAGGAGUCGGUCCACAUUUCUUUUCCGAAAGGCUUUUCCAUCAAAUCUAUGGGAUACCAACACCCCUGGCCACGGUGGAUGAAGUUGGUGACCAUACUUUCAGGGAACAGUUAAUAAAAGUA